CUCAGCAGCAAGAAAAACUUUAUUUUAGAGAAACAAUCAACCAUGUAAAUAUGCCCCAAAGGGCUAGUCCUACAAUAAUACAACCAAUCAGCAUGCCUUCAGCACUCUCAACUCCCCAUGUGACCUUAAGCCACUCCUCUUUCUUGGUGUUGUCGACAAAAAAUCCAUAGUAAACACAUCAACAUGAAGGAAAAAAAAGCAAAAAGUCCAGGACCGCCACAGUGAAAAAAUCCAGUAUUCUCUAUAAGCUGUGAUCUUCCCGUAGGUCCUGAAGGAAAUCCAUGCACAACGGUGCCAAACCGGAUCAUGAAGCUGAAAGGAACAGAGAAACAAACUGGUAAAAUAUGUUUCUGGACUUUUGAACAGAAUUAGACAUCGGAAUAUAUGCCACCAAAACCCAGAUUAUCCUCUAACCAAAACCUGUCAAUACCUGUAUUAUGUUGUAGUAAUCUGAACUCGUAACAAACUUAUUGACCACUUAGCUAUGGGAGGGCACCACUUACCUGCAUCGGGUGGGAUAAUACUCGCCUCCGUGUCCUUAAUAAAAUCAUGACUUUACGUCAUGAAAUUAGUAAAAUCUGGUAAUUUUAUUUAAGGACACGGAGGCUCAUAUUAUGCUAGUUCAAAGCUGUGACACGACCACCUCUGAAAAAUGAGAAACUGGCCGAAAAUAAAAUUCCUUGAAGGUAGAUUCGCGGGACCAAUCAGCCGCCCGGAGUAGGUCCUCCAACCUGCAGCCUUUGGAGAAUGCCUUAGUCGCCAUGGCUCCCCUGACCGAG